CAAUAGCGUAUAUUAAAGUUGUUGCGGUUAAAAAGCUCGUAGUUGGAUUUCUGCCGAGGACGACCGGUCCGCCCUCUGGGUGAGUAUCUGGCUCGGCCUGGGCAUCUUCUUGGAGAACGUAGCUGCACUUGACUGUGUGGUGCGGUAUCCAGGACUUUUACUUUGAGGAAAUUAGAGUGUUUCAAGCAGGCUUACGCCUUGAAUACAUUAGCAUGGAAUAAUAAGAUAGGACCUCGGUUCUAUUUUGUUGGUUUCUAGAGCUGAGGUAAUGAUUAAUAGGGAUAGUUGGGGGCAUUCGUAUUUAACUGUCAGAGGUGAAAUUCUUGGAUCGGCUAAAGACGGACAACUGCGAAAGCGUUUGCCCAGGAUGUUUUCAUUGA
rnacentral:rRNA from 1 species